UUGAGGUGGGUUUGUCGUUUG
rnacentral:siRNA from 1 species